rnacentral:rRNA from 1 species
UACGUAGGUGGCAAGCGUUGUCCGGAUUUACUGGGCGUAAAGCGUGCGCAGGCGGCUUUGUAAGCCAGAUGUGAAAGCCCCGGGCUUAACCUGGGAAUGGCAUUUGGGACUGCAAGGCUGGAGUGUGGCAGAGGAGACUGGAAUUCCUGGUGUAGCAGUGAAAUGCGUAGAUAUUCGCAAGAACACCAGUGGCGAAGGCGGCUCACUGGCUCGGUACUGACGCUGAGGUGCGAAAGCGUGGGGAGCAAACAGG